rnacentral:rRNA from 1 species
AGAGUUUGAUCCUGGCUCAGAUUGAACGCUGGCGGCAUGCUUUACACAUGCAAGUCGAACGGCAGCACGGGUGCUUGCACCUGGUGGCGAGUGGCGAACGGGUGAGUAAUGCACCGGAACGUACCCAGUAAUGGGGGAUAACACAUCGAAAGAUGUGCUAAUACCGCAUACGCCCUGAGGGGGAAAGCGGGGGAUCGUAGGACCUCGCGUUAUUGGAGCGGCCGAUGCCGGAUUAGCUAGUUGGUGAGGUAAGAGCUCACCAAGGCGACGAUCCGUAGCUGGUCUGAGAGGACGACCAGCCACACUGGGACUGAGACACGGCCCAGACUCCUACGGGAGGCAGCAGUGGGGAAUUUUGGACAAUGGGCGCAAGCCUGAUCCAGCCAUGCCGCGUGAGUGAAGAAGGCCUUCGGGUUGUAAAGCUCUUUCGCAAGGAAAGAAAACUUAUCUACUAA